rnacentral:rRNA from 1 species
UGGGGAAUAUUGGACAAUGGGCGCAAGCCUGAUCCAGCAAUGCCGCGUGAGUGAUGAAGGCCUUAGGGUUGUAAAGCUCUUUCGCACGCGACGAUGAUGACGGUAGCGUGAGAAGAAGCCCCGGCUAACUUCGUGCCAGCAGCCGCGGUAAUACGAAGGGGGCUAGCGUUGUUCGGAAUUACUGGGCGUAAAGGGCGCGUAGGCGGCCUGUUUAGUCAGAAGUGAAAGCCCCGGGCUCAACCUGGGAAUAGCUUUUGAUACUGGCAGGCUUGAGUUCCGGAGAGGAUGGUGGAAUUCCCAGUGUAGAGGUGAAAUUCGUAGAUAUUGGGAAGAACACCGGUGGCGAAGGCGGCCAUCUGGACGGACACUGACGCUGAGGCGCGAAAGCGUGGGGAGCAAACAGGGAANUUAGAUACCCUGGUGUCCACGCCGUAAACGAUGAAUGCUCGACGUCA